CCUACGGGCGGCAGCAGUGGGGAAUAUUGCACAAUGGGGGAAACCCUGAUGCAGCGACGCCGCGUGAAGGAAGAAGUAUUUCGGUAUGUAAACUUCUAUCAGCAGGGAAGAAAAUGACGGUACCUGACUAAGAAGCCCCGUCUAACUACGUGCCAGCAGCCGCGGUAAUACGUAGGGGGCAAGCGUUAUCCGGAUUUACUGGGUGUAAAGGGAGCGUAGGCGGUUUAGCAAGUCAGUAGUGAAAGCCCGGGGCUAAACCCCGGGACUGCGUUUGAAACUGUGGGACUAGAGUGCAGGAGAGGUAAGUGGAAUUCCUGGUGUAGCGGUGAAAUGCGUAGAUAUUAGGAGGAACACCAGUGGCGAAGGCGGCUUACUGGACUGUAAAUGACGCUGAGGCUCGAAAGCGUGGGGAGCAAACAGGAUUAGAUACCCCUGUAGUC
rnacentral:rRNA from 1 species